UAAUUAGAAACAUAAUUAUGUAAUUAGUUUCGACCUAAUCUUUAGUAAUUUAAUUUACUCUAAUUUA
rnacentral:tRNA from 1 species